CCUACGGGAGGCAGCAGUGAGGAAUAUUGGUCAAUGGACGAGAGUCUGAACCAGCCAAGUAGCGUGAAGGAUGACUGCCCUAUGGGUUGUAAACUUCUUUUAUAUGGGAAUAAAACGUUCCACGUGUGGGAUUUUGUAUGUACCAUAUGAAUAAGGAUCGGCUAACUCCGUGCCAGCAGCCGCGGUAAUACGGAGGAUCCGAGCGUUAUCCGGAUUUAUUGGGUUUAAAGGGAGCGUAGGUGGAUUGUUAAGUCAGUUGUGAAAGUUUGUGGCUCAACCGUAAAAUUGCAGUUGAAACUGGCAGUCUUGAGUACAGUAGAGGUGGGUGGAAUUCGUGGUGUAGCGGUGAAAUGCUUAGAUAUCACGAAGAACUCCGAUUGCGAAGACAGUUCACUGGACUGCAACUGACACUGAGGCUCGAAAGUGUGGGUAUCAAACAGGAUUAGAUACCCUUGUAGUC
rnacentral:rRNA from 1 species